GACCAAUUACUAUCAAUUCAGGACAUUAAGAAAAAUAAACUACUGUAGUUGAUUUUUUUCUAAAAUGUCUGAAGACAGUCCAUCCAUUUGCAGUCUCUCCUAAGACAAUGUAAGAUUGUUCUGCAGGGAUGUUCUUAUAAAAUUGCAACAUCCAUAAAGUUUACAGCAUCAACCAGCUCUAAACUUUGCAACGCCUAGAGAAGAGAAGGAAGUAAACCUCUGAGCCUGGUGGGAUUC